rnacentral:lncRNA from 1 species
UGGAAGGAGGGAAGAGGAUUGGGAGCUGCCUUUGACAGCUAAGAGGUCAGCCGCUGGGUCCAGCUCUCGCCACUUGCGACGAGCCCCAUGAUUCUUUUCUUGGAUCCAGAGAGCGUGAGACAAAGGGGAAAAUAAAAUAAGAGCGGCGGGGAGGAAAAACGGGGGAAAAAAAGGCUGCCUUUGCGCAGCCUGAAGGCAGAGAGAAAAACGUGAAGAGGAGAGGAAAAAGGCUGCCUUUGGCAGCGUGAAAGAAAGUCAGCUGGGAAAGAAAAAGCUGCCCUUGGCAGCGCACGGGAAAAGAAGCAGAGAAAACCGAGAGGCUGUGAGCGCGGGGGAAGAAAGAGAGAAGACGGGACAGAUUCACAAGGAGGUGGUGACGCGGGGAAGAACAGGAGCUGCCCUUUGGCAGCAACUGACGCAGUUCAGGGAAUUGUCAGCGAGAGGAAGACAGGCAGAUGCAGCAGAUCACCUUCUUUCGGUUUACUCUCUCUAAAUUUUUAUUUUAUUUCUGUUUUUAAUAAUGUGUAAUUAAUUUUAUUUUGGCUAGAGGUUAAUUCGAAACCAUGAAUAUAUUUGUAAUAUGAAUUGAUUACCUUCAGUUGUGAUUUCUGAGUUGUGAUUUAAUUUGCUUAUCUGCUUGAUAGAAAACUUAUUUUUGUAUGUCGGUUAAGAUGCAUACUUAAUUUACAUGCAUGAAUUUGAUGCUAGAAUAUAAGUGAAUUUCACCUAAUCGUUAUGAACUUAUUUUUCACAAGUAGUAAAGGUUGCUAGUCACAAUCACGUUAAGUAAAUUCUUGGCAAGAGUAUCAUGCUUUUCAUAGUUACGAAUGCCUCGUCAAUGCUUAUAGUUUUCACAAAGUUUAAUGAUCUUUGAUUGUAUCUCUAUUGUGCUUUUCACGUAGGGGACUUUUGAAGAAUGUUUUGAAUUGUUGUAUGCGUUUUCCCGUCCAAUUCAAUAACUUAAGGAAAACUUGAAGAUUAAAAAAGUGCUGUUCACGGUUAAUCUGGAGUAUUGAAAUUCACAAUUUAUUGAAAGAACAACUGAAAAUCAAUUUAGGUUGCAUAUGGUAAUGUGUGGAGAAGAACCCUCUAGCUAGUCCGUCAUUUAUCUUUUCACCUUAAUUUUAUGUUUUUAUCAAUUCUGUAAUUUAAUUAAGUUUAAUUUACUUUUCAUCAAAACCAAACACCCAUCCAUUAUUAAAUUAUAUUAUUUAGUUAGUUUUCUUUAUUGUUAGUCUUUUAAUUUAAUUUCCGUCCAUUUCAGUCCUAGUGUUUAAUUUGAUUGUUUUCAUUAUUUUGAAUCAUUUUAAGUGUGUUUCGAGUUAUUAGAGUUUUUAGCCUAGUUUUGUGUCCUUGAGUCUUAUUUAAUAUUUUUAAAUUAAUUUAGAAUAGAUUAGCAAUCCCUCCUAAUCCCCGGCCUAGAACGAUACCCUACUUACAUCUAUACUACAAUUGUCAAAAAGAGGGUUUAAUUUGUGUGUCAAGUAAUUUCACGCAUCAAAUUUUGGCGCCGUUGCCGGGGAUUAGCAACUUUGCUAAUCCUUUUAUUUUUGUUUUUGUUUAUGUUUAUAUUGGUGUUUGUGUAUUUUUACUUUUGAUAUUUGAUUUAUUUUUCUUUUCUUUGAUUUUAGGUUCAAAUGGAGCCGAGGGAAAUUUAAAGGAAAGAUGCGUCCGGCUAAAGACGUUAAAUCAAGCGCUUCUUGGGAGGCAACCCAAGCAUUCAACGAAGAGAGACUUUGGAAUCGCUAACCCAAUCAGAUUUGCAUUUUUACACCCUUAUCUUUAAUGCUUUCAUUUUGUCUUGUUUAGUUAGUUGUGUUAUUUGUUUGAUUUCUGUGAGUUUGUGUUAUUUAGUUUAAGUGUGGGGGAAGGUUAACCAAAGUCUCUUUACAUUAAUUUAAAUUAAAAAAAAAAAAAAAAAAAAAUUAAAAAAAAAAAAAAAAAAAAAAAAAUUUAAAAUUAAUGAUAAAAAAAAAAAAAAAAAAAAAAAAAAAAUUAAAUUAAAAUUUUACAAUGAUGUAAACUAAUAGUAUUCAUUGGUCGGGUGGUGCUUCAGUAGUGGGCGGGGCUUCAGCAGUCGGCGGGGCCACAGAAGGAGGAGGCAGCAGAGGUUGAUCAGUUGGAGCUUCACUACGCGGUGCCGCUCCAGAAGACGAAGGCAGAUGUUGUUGGAACAAACCCACAAACCUCCGAUGAUCAAGUAAAAUUUGACCAUCGGUGUCCUGCAUCUGGUCAAUCUUCCUCUUCAUGCUGGUGGCAUAGCUGUGUGCGAGCUUGUGCAAUUCCUUAUUCUCAUGCUUGAGCCUUUAAUCUCUUGCUUGAGACUCUGUAUUUCAGCCACCAAGGAUUCAACGUGACGGGUUCGGGCAUAUAGGCGUUGGGCCAUGUUGGAUACGGAACCCGCACACUGCACACUGAGAGCCAGAGACUCCUUGACCGCCAAUUCAUCAGACCGCCUUGCGAGCAGUCUGUUAUCUCUGGGAGUGACAAGGUUUCGGGCCACCACCGCAGCGGUCAUGUCAUUUUUUAUCACCGAAUCCCCCACGGUAAGGGGACCGGUAGGGGAUAUGAAGGAUGGCCGCCAUAUGUUGUCUGGUGAAGGCGGAGCUGCCUCUUCACCAAUGUUCAAGUCAAAACGACGAUCAGAAGGGCCAGACAUUUUUUCAGAGGUGGUAAAGAAAGAAGAGAGUUGGACUGAUCAAGAUUAAACAAGUGCAAGAAGGGAGUGUUUACAGGAGGGAGCUCAAGUGUGUUGUGGAACAAGCUUAACGUCUCUAUAAAAAGGAAGAAAUCAAAGAGGCGCUCCUCAGAGAAGCGUCCUCUCGCAAAUCGAAGAGUCGGGGCUCCGUUCUCAAACGUCUGAUUCUUUUCUCAAAAGAGGAGUUUCCUUUCUCAAAAGCCGGAUUCUUUUCUCAAAAGAGGCGUUUCAUUUCUUAAAGGCUGGGCUUGCUCAGAAACCACGAGCCGAACCCCGGAUUUCAAAAGAUCAAUUUGUCCAGACGUGUCGUCACUUGUCACACGCAAAUUGCUUUGCGGAAAUCUCGGGCAAUUUUGUCGAAGCACCAAUUCAGAAAUCGAAGAGGGAAAUUCAACAGUCAAAGACACGCUAGCUUUCUCAAAAGCUGGGCUUCAACCCACGGGAAAAUCUUCUUUUCCAGAUUUAUCCGCACGUGUCACAUGCUACCUCUACAAUCGACGAUGCUCAGAGCUCGAAGCGCCGAUUACAGAUAUCAAUGAGGAAUCAGCUUUGCGGAAAUUACGGGCAGCUUUGUCAGAAAGCGCGUAAUUUGUAUUCUUCACCCAUCCACCGGCUGCCGACACUAAGUGAGAGAACAGUUCCGGUUGUGAAGACAAGUCCUAUAAGUUUCUACCUUCGCCUUCCACAGCAAAAGCACACUCUCUCAGCACACCCUCUCAACACCUCUUCAUCUCCGAAAAUGCAUUCCCAAAGAAUCCUCUCGAGUCACUCUGUGUUCCUCAUUCCUUGGGAUACUCCUGCGAACAACCCAUUCAAAGCAAAAGUAUUUCAUAUCAUAAAGGUUGAAAGCAAGAGUAUCUCAUAUCAUGCUUUCUCCAUGUCCUUCUCCUUGUCUUUGUUUUCCGACAAGGAGAAAGAGAGCAAUCAGCCAGCAUUUGGUAUCAAUCUUCCAAUCUGGAGCCAACUGCCUGGAACCCUUUCCUGAUUGCUUACCUAGCCUUGCUCUCGAGUACUCAUCUUCAUCAUUUUAUGCUUUCUCUUCGUCUACCACAUCUGCCUGGGGGACAGUAAGGGAAGUGAAAAUGAUACCUCGAAGCAUGUGGAGACAAUUCAGCUAGGGACAAGGAGAAAGAGAGCAAGAGGUGGGCACUUGGAAAGAUUGAAGAAAGAAAUAAGGACCAACACCUUUCCCUCGUGCCUGCCCGUUGUGCAGAAGAAACAAGCAGAGAAGAAUGCAGCUUGCACAAUCAUCCCAGCGGAAGGAGUCCGAACUGAGGAACUAGAGAAGCUGCCACAUCUGCUUGGAGAACAAAUAAGGAACUGCAACAUAACCAAAGAGCAAAGCUUCGCCGUACAAUAUCAUAAAAUCAUCACUUGCAAGUGAAAAGCUAAGUGUCACCCUGUUCAAGAGGAAAGCUGUGGAAAGUCAACAAGCACGACCAAUGAUUACUUAUUAGUUUUAUUCAUUAUCUUUUAUCGUAAUUUUCAAUUUUUCGUUUGCAAUUUUUUUUUUAAUUUUAAUUAAUUUUCUUGCGUUACUUAACUGAAUUAUUUCUUUUCUUUGCAGGAACUUUUGGUUAUUUCCACCCUUGAAGUUGAUUACAGAAUUUUAGCUUGGGGGUCAUCGCUUGAUUUUACUGCAAAUUAGGGAAGUUUUCAGUCCAAUUGCGUUAUUUUGUUUCUUAUUAUUUUUUUUAUUUUAUUUUAUUUUUUUAAUUUGCAUUAUAGUGUUUUCUGACAUUGGGGACAAUGUCAAGUUUAAGUGUGGGGGUAGAAAUCUCCAGAAUUUCAUUUGUCUCUGUGUUGUUGUUUUUUGUGUUCUUAAUUAGUUUUGUUUUCUUUUAAAAAAAAAAAUUUAAAUUAAAAAAAUUUCGGAAAAUUUAAAAAUCCAAAAAUAUUGUCUUGUUUCCCUUAUUGUUUUGAAUUAGAUUUUUGUUAGUUUCCCGACCCAAUGAUAUAAUUAGAUCAAAUUUGAAUCACGAUUAUCAAGAACUUAGUUAACAUGUGUUUUAUGAAAUUCCUAAUUCUCUUGUUAGUUUUGUACAUGUUUGACCAUCUUUGAAAAACCAAAUGCACAUAGCCUUGUUAAUGUGAAACUAAAGUAUGACUUAAAGCUUCAUAUGUGAAUUUAGUGACCAUAUACAUCCUAUGUGAGUUUUUGAGCCGAUUGAAAGUGUGUGCAUUUUUCAUACACUCUUAUUCUUUCAUGUGUGAUGAACUUAUGUGAGAUACAUCUCUAGAACUUGCGUAACGAUCUUUCGAAAUGUUUGUCAUUGAUUGCAUGAACUUGGAAAUGAUAGAGGCAUUAGGUUUACCACUAUGGCCCAAAUAACCAUGUUUCCCAAAGAAAAAUGAUAUCAUUAGUUUGCCAAUUUGAGCCGUGUUUGUUGAGCCUUUUAUUUCUUAUCACCAGAUAUGUCUACCCUUAUACCUGAAACAUUUUUCCUUACCAUUUCCAAGCGAGCAAUGCGAGAUUGUCUUAUGAGAAACGUUUGUGAAAUACUGUGAAGAUGUUUGGCAAAAGAAUAAGUGUGGGGGUAUUUCAUGUUUGUGAAUUAAAAGAAAAGAAAAAAAGAAAAAAAAAAAAAAAAAAAAAAAGAAAGAUUGUAUAAAAAAAAAAUAAAAAGUUUUUAAAAAUUCAGUUUAAGAGUAUGGUUGGAGGUGCUAGAAGAAUUGCUGGAGAGCUUGAGUUCUUAUAAAUCUAAAGAAAAGAAUUGCUUGCAAUGUAGCUUGGAACUUGUGUUUACCUAUUCUUUCAUUUCAAUAACCCUCUCCCUAAACCUCAUUACAUCCAAUAAAAGUCCUCUUGAUUUAAGUUUUGCAAUUAUGAUUGUGGAGAUGAGAUCUUUAUGCAAGCUUAUGGUAGAAAUUUCACAUUUGAUUCUUUGAGCGAAACACAUUAAAACUAAACACAUGUGUGAUUGAGUGCAUAUCCCGUGAGAAGGUCGCUAGUUUGCAUAUGAUGAUUUUAAAAAUAAAAACUUGAAAUUGCAUUAGCAUGGCUAUCUCACACACUACACUUCAAGGAUGAUUUAAAGAUUACUGCUAAUAUUUGAAUAAGGAAGAUGAACUUGGAUUAUUUCCUUGAUGCUAGCUAUGGUUCUUGAUGAUUUGUUUUCUCGAAUGAAAUUCUAUGAGGGUCACAUAGGGGGAAGCUAAUGUUUUUUCUUGUUACUUCUUGUUCUAGUUUUCUUUGUUUUGCUCGAGGACUAGCAAAAGUUAAGUGUGGGGGUAUUUGAUCGGAUGAUAUUUAUAUAUAUUUUUACUUUGAAUUCACUCGUCUUUUCUUAGUUAGUUCCUUAUAUUUUUGAGCUAUUUACGUUAUUUUUGUGUUUAUAGGAUUUGUUAUGCAAAGAAAAUAAAAAUAGAACAAGUGAAAUUUUAUGUAAUAAAUUCGUCAAAACUGUCUGUGUAGAUCAGCUUUUAAAUUAAAUUAAAAAUUAUAUUUAAUAAUGAUAAGUCGUGAUGAUGUUUGAAACAUCAUCAUGAUGGUUUUGUUUUGUAGAAAAAAAAAAAGAAAGAAAACGGUGGAAAGAAAGAGUUGGACAAAGAAAGGAAAGAAUCCAAGGCAAAAGAGGAGUAGAUGCGGGGAGGACUGGAAAACAAAGAAAGCAAACGGGACAGCCAAGAGAAGUGGGGAUGGCAAAUAAAAGAAUAAUAAAAUAAAGAAAAAGGACUGUCAGAUGGAAGGAGGGAAGAGGAUUGGGAGCUGCCUUUGACAGCUAAGAGGUCAGCCGCUGGGUCCAGCUCUCGCCACUUGCGACGAGCCCCAUGAUUCUUUUCUUGGAUCCAGAGAGUGUGAGACAAAGGGGAAAAUAAAAUAAGAGCUGCGGGGAGGAAAAACGGGGGGAGAAAAAAGGCUGCCUUGCGCAGCCUGAAGGCAGAGAGAAAAACGUGAAGAGGAGAGGAAAAAGGCUGCCUUUGGCAGCGUGAAAGAAAGUCAGCUGGGAAAGAAAAAGCUGCCCUUGGCAGCGCACGGGAAGAAGCAGAGAAACCGAGAGGCUGUGGGCGCGGGAGAGAGGAGAAGACGGGACAGAUUCCACGAGGAGGUGGUGACGCGGGGAAGAACAGGAGCUGCCCUUUGGCAGCAACUGACGCAGUUCAGGGAAUUGUCAGCGAGAGGAAGACAGGCAGAUGCAGCAGAUCACCUUCUUUCGGUUUACUCUCUCUAAAUUUUUAUUUUAUUUCUGUUUUUAAUAAUGUGUAAUUAAUUUUAUUUUGGCUAGAGGUUAAUUCGAAACCAUGAAUAUAUUUGUAAUAUGAAUUGAUUACCUUCAGUUGUGAUUUCUGAGUUGUGAUUUAAUUUGCUUAACUGCUUGAUAGAUAACUUAUUUUUGUAUGUCGAUUAAGGAUGCAUACUUAAUUUACAUGCAUGAAUUUGAUGUUAGAAUAUAAGUGAAUUUCACCUAAUCGUUAUGAACUUAUUUUCACAAGUAGUAAAGGUUGCUAGUCACAAUCACGUUAAGUAAAUU